UCGCUAGUCCCAUCUGGGUUCAACCAGGUUGUGUGAUUAGUACAUGUCUGGCCAUCCUUCUAGUUGCCAGCAGGCACACCUUUACUGGUGUGACUUGUCUGUACAAAAGUGACUAGAUCUUUUACUUUGAAAAAAUUAGAGUGUUUCAAGCAGGCGCACACAAAGCGGCUAUGAAUACAUUAGCAUGGAAUAAUGCAAUAGGACUUCGGUUCUAUUUUGUUGGUUUCUAGGACUGAAGUAAUGAUUGAUAGGGAUAGUUGGGGGUGCUAGUAUUCAGCGGCCAGAGGUGAAAUUCUUGGAUUCGCUGAAGACUAACUUAUGCGAAAGCAUU
rnacentral:rRNA from 1 species